GGCGUUAACGAACGAGACCUUAACCUGCUAAAUAGCCCGGCUAGCUUUGGCUGGUCGCUGGCUUCUUAGAGGGACUAUCGGCUUCAAGCCGAUGGAAGUUUGAGGCAAUAACAGGUCUGUGAUGCCCUUAGAUGUUCUGGGCCGCACACGCGCUACACUGACAGAGCCAACGAGUUUUUUUCCUUGUCCGGAAGGCCUGGGUAAUCUUGUUAAACUCUGUCGUGCUGGGGAUAGAGCAUUGCAAUUAUUGCUCUUCAACGAGGAAUUCCUAGUAAGCGCAUGUCAUCAGCAUGCGUUGAUUACGUCCCUGCCCUUUGUACACACCGCCCGUCGCUAAUACCGAUUGAAUGGAUAG
rnacentral:rRNA from 1 species